rnacentral:tRNA from 1 species
AUUUAUAUAGUUUACUAUAAAAACAUUUCAUUUUCAAUGAAAAAAUGGGACUUUCCCUGUAAAUA